rnacentral:rRNA from 1 species
AGUCAUAUGCUUCUUUCAAGGACUAAGCCAUGCAAGCCUCAGAGUACAUGGAAUUAUAGUAGAUCUGUGAAUGGCUCAUUACAUCAGCAAUAAUCUACUUGGAGACGUUGGGGUUCAACCCCGCCUAUUGGAUAUCCACCCUAACUGGGUGGUUAAUACAUGGAAGCAAACCCCCUCCUCACCCUACGCGCGGCGGCGGGGUGACUCUUCGUCGCGCGGAGGCGGGGGGCAUUCAGCUGAUACCAAGACCGGCGCCUGUUAAAGGCAGCGUAUAUGGGUGAUUCAGGCUGUCCUGUCGCAAUAGCAGAGUGAUGUACAUCAUCGCUGCUUGUCCAGACGAACUUCUGACCUAUCAGCUUAGGACUGUGGUGUAGUGGACCACCGUGGCUAUAACGGGUAACGGAGAAUCAGGGUUUGAUACCGGAGAGGGAGCCUGAUAAACGGCUACCACUGCUAAGGUGGGCAGCAGGCACGCAAAUUGCCCAAUACCAGCACACCUGGUGAGGCAGCAACGAGCUGUAGCAAUCCUGCCCGUCUUCAUGACAGGCAGAAUUUGCAAUGGAUGCCAUAUCCAAACCCAGCAAUGAGUAUCAAC